ACUCAAAGGAAUUGACGGGGGCCCGCACAAGCGGUGGAGCAUGUUGUUUAAUACGUCACUAACCGUAGAACCUUACCAGGGCUUGACAUGGGAGGCACCGGGGUGAAAGCCUCGUUCCGAGCAAUCGGACCUCUACACAGGUGUUGCAUGGCUGUCGUCAGCUCGUGUCGUGAGAUGUUGGGUUAAGUCCCGCAACGAGCGCAACCCUCAUCCCCUGUUGCCAGCGGGUAAAGCCGGGAACUCUGGGGAAACUGCCGGGGUAACUCGGAGGAAGGUGAGGAUGACGUCAAGUCAGCAUGGCCCUUACGCCCUGGGCUACAAACAUGCUACAAUGGACGGUAGACAAAGGGAACCGAGACCGUGAGGUGGAGGCAAUCCCAGAAAUCCGUUCUCAGUUCGGAUUGCAGGCUGCAACUCGCCUGCAUGAAGUCGGAAUCGCUAGUAACCGCAGGUCAGAUAAACUGCGGUGAAUACGUUCCCGGGCCUUGUACACACCGCCCGU
rnacentral:rRNA from 1 species